rnacentral:rRNA from 1 species
AACGCGAAGAACCUUACCUGGGCUUGACAUGCUGGUGAAAGCCGGUGGAAACACCGGUCCCUCUUCGGAGCGCCAGCACAGGUGCUGCAUGGCUGUCGUCAGCUCGUGUCGUGAGAUGUUGGGUUAAGUCCCGCAACGAGCGCAACCCUCGCUCCCAGUUGCCAGCGGUUCGGCCGGGGACUCUGGGGGGACUGCCGGCGUUAAGCCGGAGGAAGGUGGGGACGACGUCAAGUCAUCACGGCCCUUACGUCCAGGGCGACACACGUGCUACAAUGCCCGGUACAGCGCGUCGCCAACUCGCGAGAGGGAGCCAAUCGCUAAAAGCCGGGCUAAGUUCGGAUUGCAGUCUGCAACUCGACUGCAUGAAGCCGGAAUCGCUAGUAAUCGCGGAUCAGCCACGCCGCGGUGAAUACGUUCCCGGGCCUUGUA